rnacentral:lncRNA from 1 species
UAUUAUGUUUAUUUUUUAAAAAAAUUAAAAGGCUUUUGUUACAUUUGGCUCUCUAAAAAUAUUUUUUUACAAAUAAUCCCAUCAAAUUUAUAAUUAUAAAUUUGACUUUAUCACCGCCACGCGGGCGCCACAUUAGUGCCAUGAUUUUGAGUUGAACACGGUGAAUCAUUCACCGUGUUCAAACACGGUGAAAGAUUCACUGUGUUCCAUAUCUAUAUUCCCCCUUUUUAUUUUUCUUAUAUUUUUUUGCAAUACAUAUAUACUAUAUUUUUUUCAAACACGGUGAACCAUUCACCGUAUUCAAAUACGAUGAAUCAUUCACCGUGUUCAAACAAGGUGAAUGAUUCACCGUGUUCCAUACUUAUAUUUCCCUCCCUUCUCCUUUUUAUUUUCCUUAUAUUUUUUUAUAUACAUGUAUAUCAUAUUUUUUUCAAACACGGUGAAUGAUUUACCUGUUCAACUUAAUAUGCAGUCCCGCUGACGUGGCGCUGAUGGCGCCUGUGUGGCAGGAGGACCAUAUUUAUAAAUAUAAAUUUACUGGGCUACAUUUAAAAUAAAUUUUU